AUUUCAACUGGAGACAGGGAUGGAUGGGAAAACUUACACUCUGAAGACAUCAGGCCUCACCAGCAAUCUUGGGCUUCUCAUUUAAAUUCCCUGAGUUUUUACUGGAGAAGUUUGCAAAGACCAGGAUGAAGGCUAUAUUGGACUGCCCAGGGAACCACACUCUUCAGGGACUGUGGACAUUAGGAAGACAUGUGCAGUUGACAUUGAAAGGCUAAGCCAAGGGCCUCCCUAUUCCCUGAAGCACAACAGUAUUGAAAUUGGGCCAAUUAAUAACCCCACAAUGGCCUCCAAGUGUUCAGGUCAUGGAAGCAACCUAAAUGCCCAUCGACAGACAAAUGGUUAAAGAAGAUGUGGUACAUAUAUACAAUGGAAUAUUACUCAGCCAUAAAAAGGAAUGAUAUUGGGUCAUUUGUUGAGACGUGGAUGGA